rnacentral:rRNA from 1 species
GAUCAUGGCUCAGGAUGAACGCUGGCGGCGUGCUUAACACAUGCAAGUCGAACGAAGCGAUUUAGCGGAAGUUUUCGGAUGGAAGCUAGAUUGACUGAGUGGCGGACGGGUGAGUAACGCGUGGGUAACCUGCCUUAUACAGGGGGAUAACAGUUAGAAAUGACUGCUAAUACCGCAUAAGCGCACAGGAUUGCAUGAUCUGGUGUGAAAAACUCCGGUGGUAUAAGAUGGACCCG